rnacentral:piRNA from 1 species
UCGAAAGGCCUAGUGCUUUAUUUGUGGGA